rnacentral:rRNA from 1 species
AAACCAGCACCUCAAGUGGUCAGGAUGAUUAUUGGGCCUAAAGCAUCCGUAGCCUGUUUUGUCAGUUUUCGGUUAAAUCCAUACGCUCAACGUAUGGGCUGCCGGAAAUACUGCAAAACUAGGGAGUGCGAGAGGUAGACGGUACUCGGGAGGAAGGGGUAAAAUCCUUUGAUCUCUCGAUGACCACCUGUGGCGAAGGCGGUCUACCAGAACACGUCCGACGGUGAGGGAUGAAAGCUGGGGGAGCAAACCGAAUUAGAAACCCCGGUAGUCC